rnacentral:rRNA from 1 species
UACGGAGGGUGCGAGCGUUAUCCGGAUUCACUGGGUUUAAAGGGUGCGUAGGUGGGAAUGUAAGUCAGUGGUGAAAUCUCCGUGCUUAACACGGAAACUGCCAUUGAUACUAUGUUUCUUGAAUUUUCUGGAGGUUAGCGGAAUAUGUCAUGUAGAGGUGAAAUGCUUAGAUAUGACAUAGAACACCGAUUGCGAAGGCAGCUAACUACAGGGAUAUUGACACUGAGGCACGAAAGCGUGGGGAUCAAACAGG